UCCAUGUUGCUUUCUCUUUGGGUGAACCA
rnacentral:piRNA from 1 species